UUCAGUGCUGAGGGCCUCCAAAAGGAUGCUCAGGCACCACUUAUAAUUCCUCUUUCUGAUACUUUUCUAGCUCUUCUGAGUUCCAACUCCUUGAUACUUCAACUCUUCUUCCAAAUCAUCCUAAUUCUUGUUAAAACAAGGAAAACCAAGCAUAAAACCAAUAAUUCCACCUUCAACUCUCUAAUUCUCAUAACUAAAGCAAAAUCAUGAUUUUAAGCUAGUUUUUAAGUCAUAAAGGAUGUUUUUAGUAUCAAAAGUAGUAUUUCAACCGUUAUCAUGUGUUCAGCUAAACUAGUGCUCCCCCU
rnacentral:lncRNA from 1 species